GAUGAACGCUAGCGGCAGGCUUAAUACAUGCAAGUCGUGGGGCAGCAUGAGUGUAGCAAUACAUUUGAUGGCGACCGGCAAACGGGUGCGGAACACGUACACAACCUUCCUUCAAGUGGGGAAUAGCCCAGGGAAACUUGGAUUAAUACCCCGUAAUAUUAUGGAGUGGCAUCACUUUAUAAUUAUAGCUCCGGCGCUUGAUGAUGGGUGUGCGCCUGAUAGGUAGUUGGCGGGGUAACGGCCCACCAAGCCUUCGAUCAGUAACUGGUGUGAGAGCACGACCAGUCACACGGGCACUGAGACACGGGCCCACUCCUACGGGAGGCAGCAGUAAGAAUAUUGGCAAUGGACNCAAGUCUGAACCNGCCAUGCCGCGUGAAGGAUGAA
rnacentral:rRNA from 1 species